rnacentral:rRNA from 1 species
UACGAAGGGGGCUAGCGUUGUUCGGAUUUAUUGGGCGUAAAGGGUGCGCAGGCGGUGUGGUAAGUUUGGUGUGAAAUCCUGGGGCCCAACCCCAGAAUUGCACUGAAUACUGCCAUGCUAGAGGACUGGAGAGGAGAUUGGAAUUCACGGUGUAGCAGUGAAAUGCGUAGAUAUCUGGAGGAACACCGGUGGCGAAGGCGGCAUCCUGGACCAACACUGACGCUGAGGAGCGAAAGCCAGGGGAGCAAACGGG